UCCGAUAUGGUCUAGUGGCUAGGAUACCUGGGUCUCACCCAAGAGGUCCAGGGCCGAUUCCCGGUACCGGAA
rnacentral:tRNA from 1 species